rnacentral:rRNA from 1 species
UAAGGAAUAUUGGUCAAUGGAGGGAACUCUGAACCAGCCAUGCCGCGUGCAGGAAGACGGCCCUCUGGGUUGUAAACAGCUUUUAUUCGGGAAUAAACCUAUUUACGUGUAAAUAGCUGAAUGUACCGAAGGAAUAAGGAUCGGCUAACUCCGUGCCAGCAGCCGCGGUAAUACGGAGGAUCCAAGCGUCAUCCGGAUUUAUUGGGCUUUAAGGGUGCGUAGGCGGCUAAUUAAGUCAGGGGUGAAAGACGGUGGCUCAACCAUCGCAGUGCCCUUGAUACUGAUGAGCUUGAAUGGGCUAGAGGUAGGCGAAAUGUGGCAAGUAGCGGUGAAGUGCAUAGAUAUGUCACAGAACACCGAUUGCGAGGGCAGCUUACUAUGGUUUAAUUGACGCUGAGGCACGAAAGCGUGGGGAUCAAACA